rnacentral:rRNA from 1 species
UGCAAGUCGAACGGUGAAGGAGGAGCUUGCUCCUUUGGAUCAGUGGCGAACGGGUGAGUAACACGUGAGUAACCUGCCCCAGACUCUGGGAUAAGCACUGGAAACGGUGUCUAAUACCGGAUACGAGCUUCAGCCGCAUGGCUAGGAGCUGGAAAGAAUUUCGGUCUGGGAUGGACUCGCGGCCUAUCAGCUAGUUGGUGAGGUAAUGGCUCACCAAGGCGACGACGGGUAGCCGGCCUGAGAGGGUGACCGGCCACACUGGGACUGAGACACGGCCCAGACUCCUACGGGAGGCAGCAGUGGGGAAUAUUGCACAAUGGGCGCAAGCCUGAUGCAGCAACGCCGCGUGAGGGACGACGGCCUUCGGGUUGUAAACCUCUUUUAGUAGGGAAGAAGCGAAAGUGACGGUACCUGCAGAAAAAGCACCGGCUAACUACGUGCCAGCAGCCGCGGUAAUACGUAGGGUGCAAGCGUUAUCCGGAAUUAUUGGGCGUAAAGAGCUCGUAGGCGGUUUGUCGCGUCUGCUGUGAAAACUGGAGGCUCAACCUCCAGCCUGCAGUGGGUACGGGCAGACUAGAGUGCGGUAGGGGAGAUUGGAAUUCCUGGUGUAGCGGUGGAAUGCGCAGAUAUCAGGAGGAACACCGAUGGCGAAGGCAGAUCUCUGGGCCGUAACUGACGCUGAGGAGCGAAAGCAUGGGGAGCGAACAGGAUUAGAUACCCUGGUAGUCCAUGCCGUAAACGUUGGGAACUAGAUGUAGGGACCAUUCCACGGUUUCUGUGUCGCAGCUAACGCAUUAAGUUCCCCGCCUGGGGAGUACGGCCGCAAGGCUAAAACUCAAAGGAAUUGACGGGGGCCCGCACAAGCGGCGGAGCAUGCGGAUUAAUUCGAUGCAACGCGAAGAACCUUACCAAGGCUUGACAUAUACCCGGAAAAGUUCAGAAAUGUUCUCCCCGCAAGGCCGGUAUACAGGUGGUGCAUGGUUGUCGUCAGCUCGUGUCGUGAGAUGUUGGGGUUAAGUCCCGCAACGAGCGCAACCCUCGUUCUAUGUUGCCAGCACGUAAUGGUGGGAACUCAUAGGA